UACUAGAGUAGCACUCGCAUAUCAAUAAGCGGAGGAAAAGAAACUAACAAGGAUUCCCCUAGUAACGGCGAGUGAAGCGGGAAGAGCUCAAAUUUGAAAUCUUAAAGGGUUUCCCUUUACGAAUUGUAGUUUAAAGAAGUGUUUUCUGUUGAGGUUUUGGUAAAAGUUCUUUGGAAUAGGACAUCAUAGAGGGUGAGAAUCCCGUAUUUGACCUUUACUUUCAACUUUGUGAUACACUUUCAAAGAGUCGGAUUGUUUGGGAAUGCAGUCCAAAAUGGGUGGUAAAUUUCAUCUAAAGCUAAAUAUUGGCGAGAGACCGAUAGCGAACAAGUACCGUGAGGGAAAGAUGAAAAGAACUUUGAAAAGAGAGUUAAACAGUACGUGAAAUUGUCAAAAGGGAAGCGUUUGACACCAGUGUUGUUUUUCUGAAAAUCAAUUAAAGAACUGUUUAUGCUAAGUUGUUUAGACUUUAUCAGCUAUCUGUUUAGUUUUGAGCUUUUCUUUAAUGCACUUUUCAGUUAACAAGUCAACAUCAAUUUCUUUUGCUGUAAAAAAGCUUGAGGAAGGUGGCUUGAGAUUCGUCUUAAGUGUUUAUAGCCUCUUGCCUAUGCAGUCGGAGAGAUUGAGGUCUGCAGCGUAGAUCCUUCGGGGCUAAAUGCAUUUGUGCUAAGUUAUAGCAUUUUAUAGACAACUUGUUGACUAUGAUUUGUCUUGUAGCUUACUCGCUUAUGUUAUUUUACCUACGCUUAGGAUGUUGAGUCAUCACACAUCUCU
rnacentral:rRNA from 1 species